rnacentral:rRNA from 1 species
GCUCCAAUAGCGUAUAUUUAAGUUGUUGCAGUUAAAAAGCUCGUAGUCGGAUUUCGGGCAGGUGUCAGCGGUCCGCCUUUGGGUGAGUACUGCUGAUGCUUGCCUUUCUGUCGGGGACGGGCUCCUGGGCUUCACUGUCCGGGACUCGGAGUCGGCGAGGUUACUGUGAGUAAAUUAGAGUGUUCAAAGCAGGCCUACGC